rnacentral:rRNA from 1 species
UACGUAGGGUGCAAGCGUUAAUCGGAAUUACUGGGCGUAAAGCGUGCGCAGGCGGUUAUACAAGACAGAUGUGAAAUCCCCGGGCUCAACCUGGGAACUGCAUUUGUGACUGCAUGGCUAGAGUACGGUAGAGGGGGAUGGAAUUCCGCGUGUAGCAGUGAAAUGCGUAGAUAUGCGGAGGAACACCGAUGGCGAAGGCAAUCCCCUGGACCUGUACUGACGCUCAUGCACGAAAGCGUGGGGAGCAAACAGG